GUUCAUACGGGACCUGAAUAAACACAUAUCCAUGUUUACCUCACUCAACAAGGCACAAUGGAACCUUCGCAGGUUGUUCAUACCCCAGCAUUUUUCCGGGAGAGCUGGUCGCUACAGGGGCCAAACGACUGGCAGAGCUGCCUUCACAGGCUAUAGGCCUCAACCAGCAGACUCAUGGAAUUCGGGCAAUACCCGUUUCUACCACAAGCAGUUCUUUCCCUCUACACGUUCCAUCAGAGUAUGUGGAUAUGCUUCCCUCCGGGGCCGCACUGCUUCAGGUAAUCGACUCAAGUUCCU